UACAUAGGGGUGGGGAGGGGGACCGUUACUGUGAUCCCGGUGACAGUAAACAAAUGGAAAAGUUUUAUAUUUUCUGAGUUUUGUGGCGAAAUGAGAGCAAGUGGAGGCGGUGGAGGGACACAUGGAGGAGUGGAGAAGACGUGAGGUGGAGAGGUGAGAGCCCCCGUGACAUACUGGAACACGCUCCGCCAAUAAGGAAACUAACAACAGGGGAAGCUUCAUCACCCUCCGGAACUCCCCUGUAAUAAGACACAACUGGUGGGCUGUGUGGUGACCCUGCGUUGUCUGUGAGGGCCACCCCCACAGCCACACACCACCACCACCACCACCAGGAGAGGGCAUCCACCACCUCCUCUAGCAGCUGGCCAGGGCACAGGGCACAAAGCAAGUUGUGGUGGUGGUGGUGAUAGUAGAAGAGAUAGUAGUGGUAGUGGUAAUGGUAGUGGCAUUAAUAGAGUAGUAAAAAUGAUAGUAGAGGUCCUGGAUUAUAUAUUUUUAUUUUUAUUAGUAGUAGUAGUAGUAGUAGUAGUAGUAGUAGUAGUAGUACCACCAGUGUUUGUUGAAAUAUACUGGUAAUUGUACUACAACCACUACUACUACUACUUCUGUCCAGCCCUUUAUGAAGUUGAAGGGGAAACAAACACCUGUAACUGUGGACUACUUUUAUUUAACACACACACACAUCAUUUAAUAAGAAACAGACAACAACAAAAACAACAACAACAACAACAACAACAACAACAACCUCUGCCACCAUUCCUUGCACACUGUGAAGGAAAACAAUGAUGAUGACAAUGGUGCUCUUCUUUCCCCCAGCAAGUGGUGAUGCAGAGGGUAGCCAGCCAGCCACCCCCCCCGCCACCUCCUGCCAGCCAGGUUGCAGAGGCACAAGUCCGUGCAUGUGUCCAGGACAUGAAGGUGAACAACACUGAGUAACACCUCUCCCCUGCAUCAACAACACCUCUCCUGUGAUGAAUAACACUGAGUAACACCUCUCCCCUGCUUCAACAACACCUGCUUCACUUCACACUCAUUCAUGCAAGCUCUCUCUCUCUCUCUCUCUCUCUCUCUCUCUCUCUCUCUCUCUCUCUCUCUCUCUCUCUCUCUCUCUCUCUCUCUCUCUCUCAGCCCACAGCCCCACAGUAUGUCCCCCACAGUAUGUUUACAAACCCACAGUGACUCCCCACAGCCCCUUACCAAUAGGUGUCCCCCUUACACACACACACACACACAGCAUUACAUAUACAAAUGCUGCAUCUUGUAAGUAGUCCUACAAUAAAGAAUGGACACACAAAA